rnacentral:rRNA from 1 species
AUUGAACGCUGGCGGCAGGCCUAACACAUGCAAGUCGAACGGUAACAGGAAGAAGCUUGCUUCUUUGCUGACGAGUGGCGGACGGGUGAGUAAUGUCUGGGAAACUGCCUGAUGGAGGGGGAUAACUACUGGAAACGGUAGCUAAUACCGCAUAAUGUCGCAAGACCAAAGAGGGGGACCUUCGGGCCUCUUGCCAUCGGAUGUGCCCAGAUGGGAUUAGCUAGUAGGUGGGGUAACGGCUCACCUAGGCGACGAUCCCUAGCUGGUCUGAGAGGAUGACCAGCCACCCUGGAACUGAGACACGGUCCAGACUCCUACGGGAGGCAGCAGUGGGGAAUAUUGCACAAAGGGCGCGAGCCUGAUGCAGCUAUGCCGCGUGUAUGAAGAAGGCCUUCGGGUUGUAAAGUACUUUCAGCGGGGAGGAAGGGAGUAAAGUUAAUACCUUUGCUCAUUGACGUUACCCGCAGAAGAAGCACCGGCUAACUCCGUG